rnacentral:sRNA from 1 species
AGCCCUGGAACUGAGCCUGGCUCUGGUAAAUAGCUCCAACGUGCGAGCCAUGAUGCAAGAGCUGCAGGCCUUUCUGGAGUCCUGCCCUCCUGACCUACGGGCUGACUGUGCCUCAGGCAUCCUGCUGGCUGCAGAGAGGUGAGGUGCCCAGGAGUCAAAGAGGGUAGAAUCUGGGGAGGGUCAGUACCAGGACUGAUGAGCCAUAUAUCCCCUAGGUUUGCUCCAACCAAACGCUGGCACAUAGACACCAUCCUGCAUGUGCUGACAACGGUGAGGCAGGGGCCAGUCAGAGAGCUGGGCAGAAGUGGUCAGGAUUCACCACACUGACUUGGCCAUGCCCACACCUUCCAGGCGGGCACCCACGUGCGGGAUGAUGCAGUGGCCAACCUGACCCAGCUGAUUGGGGGGGCCCAGGAGCUACAUGCCUACUCUGUGCGCCGCCUCUACAAUGCCCUGGCAGAAAACAUUUCCCAGCAACCACUGGUGCAGGUGGCAGCCUGGUGCAUUGGGGAGUAUGGGGACCUCCUGCUGGCGGGGAACUGCGAGGAGAUUGAGCCCCUUCAGGUGGACGAAGAGGAAGUGCUGGCAUUGCUGGAAAAGGUGCUGCAGUCCCAUAUGUCCCUGCCAGCCACUCGAGGAUAUGCCCUCACGGCCCUCAUGAAGCUCAGCACUCGCCUCUGUGGGGACAACAAGUAAGAAGGGGUCCCAGCCCCUUGAGAGAUGGCCUGUCACUGGGCCCACCCAUUUCUGAGUUUCUUUCCAGGCAUACAUACCCAGCCCUCCCUACCCCCCA